UACGGGGGGGGCAAGCGUUGUUCGGAAUUACUGGGCGUAAAGGGCUCGUAGGUGGCCAACUAAGUCGGACGUGAAAUCCCUCGGCUUAACCGGGGAACUGCGUCCGAUACUGGUUGGCUUGAGUUUGGGAGAGGGAUGCGGAAUUCCAGGUGUAGCGGUGAAAUGCGUAGAUAUCUGGAGGAACAUCUGUGGCGAAGGCGGCCAUCUGGACCAGCACUGACACUGAGGCACGAAAGCGUGGGGAGCAAACAGG
rnacentral:rRNA from 1 species